GUUGAGACGAGCAGCUCUGCCUGUGUGAAAGAGAAAAUGCUAUAGAGUUACACUAAACUAAAACUUGCCUAUGGAAUCAAAUGCAGAUGUCCUUAAUGUAGAGUUAGUACAUGCAAUGGGAAUAAAAACUCAAUGGACUUCUGCCCUGCAGGACCAAAAAAGCCACUUCAAUGGUGCGUGUUAUUUUAAAUGGCCGCCUUCCCAAUGUUGAUUCUGAUCCACAGCAAUUUGAAAGUGGCAGUGAAGAGGUUACCCAGAGUGUCCAGAGCUUAGGGGAUUGCAGUACAUUUUUAUAU